rnacentral:misc_RNA from 1 species
UCUCCGUAGGUGAACCUGCGGAGGGAUCAUUACUGAGUGAGGGCCCCUGGGUCCGACCUCCAACCCUUUUGUGAACCACCUCGUUGCUUCGGGGGCGACCCUGCCGUUCGGCGCGGCGCCCCCGGAGGCUCAUCAAACACUGCAUCUCUGCGUCGGAGUCUUAAUGAAUUCAAACAAAACUUUUAACAACGGAUCUCUUGGUUCUGGCAUCGAUGAAGAACGCAGC